UGGGGAAUAUUGGACAAUGGGCGAAAGCCUGAUCCAGCCAUGCCGCGUGUGUGAAGAAGGUCUUCGGAUUGUAAAGCACUUUAAGUUGGGAGGAAGGGCAUUAACCUAAUACGUUAGUGUCUUGACGUUACCGACAGAAUAAGCACCGGCUAACUCUGUGCCAGCAGCCGCGGUAAUACGGAGGGUGCAAGCGUUAAUCGGAAUUACUGGGCGUAAAGCGUGCGCAGGCGGUUAUGUAAGACAGAUGUGAAAUCCCCGGGCUCAACCUGGGAACUGCAUUCAAAACUGACCGACUAGAGUAUGGUAGAGGGUGGUGGAAUUUCCUGUGUAGCGGUGAAAUGCGUAGAUAUAGGAAGGAACACCAGUGGCGAAGGCGACCACCUGGACUGAUACUGACACUGAGGUGCGAAAGCGUGGGGAGCAAACA
rnacentral:rRNA from 1 species